rnacentral:rRNA from 1 species
CCUACGGGUGGCAGCAGUGAGGAAUAUUGGUCAAUGGGCAGAAGCCUGAACCAGCCAAGUCGCGUGAGGGAAUAAGGCCCUACGGGUCGUAAACCUCUUUUGCCGGGGAGCACGAGCGGGGACGUGUCCCGGCCCGGCGUGUACCCGGCGAAACAGCAUCGGAUAACGCCGUGCAGGCCGCCGCGGUAAUACGGAGGUGGCGAGCGUUAUCGGGAUUUAUUGGGUUUAAAGGGUGCGUAGGCGGGCUUUUAAGUCAGCGGGAAAGAUUCGGGGCGCACCCCCGUGCGGCCGUUGAAACUGGGGGCCUUGAGUGGGCGAGAAGAAGGCGGAAUGCGUGGUGUAGCGGUGAAAUGCAUAGAUAUCACGCAGAACCCCGAUUGCGAAGGCAGCCUUCCGGCGCCCUACUGACGCUGAGGCACGAAAGUGCGGGGAUCGAACAGGAUUAGAUACCCUAGUAGUC